GAUGAACGCUGGCGGCGUGCCUAAUACAUGCAAGUCGAACGCUUUUUCUUUCACCGGAGCUUGCUCCACCGAAAGAAAAAGAGUGGCGAACGGGUGAGUAACACGUGGGUAACCUGCCCAUCAGAAGGGGAUAACACUUGGAAACAGGUGCUAAUACCGUAUAACACUAUUUUCCGCAUGGAAGAAAGUUGAAAGGCGCUUUUGCGUCACUGAUGGAUGGACCCGCGGUGCAUUAGCUAGUUGGUGAGGUAACGGCUCACCAAGGCAACGAUGCAAAGCCGACCUGAGGGGGUGAUCGGCCACACUGGGAAUGAGACAGGGCCCAGACUCCUACGGGAGGCAGCAGUAGGGAAUCUUCGGCAAUGGACGAAAGUCUGACCGAGCAACGCCGCGUGAGUGAAGAAGGUUUUCGGAUCGUAAAACUCUGUUGUUAGAGAAGAACAAGGAUGAGAGUAGAACGUUCAUCCCUUGACGGUAUCUAACCAGAAAGCCACGGCUAACUACGUGCCAGCAGCCGCCGCUG
rnacentral:rRNA from 1 species